UACAGAGGUCCCGAGCGUUGUUCGGAUUCACUGGGCGUAAAGGGUGCGUAGGUGGCAUGCUAAGUUUGAUGUGAAAGCUCAGGGCUUAACCCUGAAAUGGCAUUGAAUACUAGCGUGCUGGAGGUUUGGAGGGGGGACUGGAAUUCUCGGUGUAGCAGUGAAAUGCGUAGAUAUCGAGAGGAACACCAGUGGCGAAGGCGAGUCCCUGGACAACACCUGACACUGAGGCACGAAAGCCGGGGGAGCAAACAGG
rnacentral:rRNA from 1 species